GAUGAACGCUGGCGGCGUGCCUAAUACAUGCAAGUCGAGCGAACAGACGAGGAGCUUGCUCCACUGACGUUAGCGGCGGACGGGUGAGUAACACGUGGAUAACCUACCUAUAAGACUGGGAUAACUUCGGGAAACCGGAGCUAAUACCGGAUAAUAUAUUGAACCGCAUGGUUCAAUAGUGAAAGACGGUUUUGCUGUCACUUAUAGAUGGAUCCGCGCCGCAUUAGCUAGUUGGUAAGGUAACGGCUUACCAAGGCAACGAUGCGUAGCCGACCUGAGAGGGUGAUCGGCAACACUGGAACUGGGACACGGUCAAGACUCCGACGGGAGGCAGCAGUAGGGAAUCUUCCGCAAGGGGCGAAAGCCUGACGGAGCAACGCCGCGUGAGUGAUGAAGGUCUUCGGAUCGUAAAACUCUGUUAUUAGGGAAGAACAAAUGUGUAAGUAACUAUGCACGUCUUGACGGUACCUAAUCAGAAAGCCACGGCUAACUACGUU
rnacentral:rRNA from 1 species